rnacentral:lncRNA from 1 species
UCCAAAGGUUAUCAGAUUAUUAGGAUCACUAGACACCAGGUCAUCCCAUUCAAGCGUGUUGAUAUCGUGAAUUCUCAAUUGAUGAUGGUUGACAGUCAAACUCCCAGGAUCUGUCUAUCAAAUUUGUUUUGAUAAGCGUGGAAGAGAUAACUUUAACAACUUGGUAAAAGUAAUGUCUCUAGUAGUCUAGCAACUUAAUAAAAUGAAUGACCAGUGACACUAAAAUCAAUGUGGCAAAAGGAAAUGUUUCCUUAAUGAAGCAUGUAAGUUAACAUGACCUACAAGAUCUUUCUCGGCUAUAGAAUAUGCAUGACCGUCUCCAGAAUCAAAUUGUUCAGCUGAAAGCCAGGGUGUAGACGGGUUUGAAACUGAGCUCGAGUUUGAAUUCAGAGGCGUGACAGAAGGACUCUGCAACUGUACAGGAAGUAAAACACAGAGGUCGUAAGAUUUUGAACACUUCAUACCCACAGAAGCUCAACAAUUUGCAACCUAUCCCUAUAAAAGAGAGAGCUUAGAUGGUCUGCCAUAGCUCUAAGUUAAGCACGUAUCAGAGCCGAAGCUACCAAUUUUUCGAUGCACAUGAAAAUGAUCUGCUUCCUUUCAAACAUAAAUUACACCGCACUUGUGUUACAAUUAUCAAAUAUGAAACGACUCCAGAUCCAGAGUUUCAAGGAAGUUUUAUCUGGUACUCAACUAUGGAGGGCAGCUUAUGCAAAUCACCCCAUCAUACGACGUGGCUUAUACUACAUAGACAUUUAGUAACAGGCGAUAAUUAUAAAAUUCGAACCACCUGAGUGUCUCGAUAGUGAACCAGGACUAUGUGUUCCAGAGCCCUGAAAGCAGUACAAGAACAGGAAAGAAAGAACAUGUUAAAUAUCUGGUAAAAAGCAACACUAUCAAGUGC